rnacentral:rRNA from 1 species
UGGGGAAUAUUGCACAAUGGGCGAAAGCCUGAUGCGGCAACGCCGCGUGAGGGACGACGGCCUUCGGGUUGUAAACCUCUUUUAGCAAGGAAGAAGCGAAAGUGACGGUACUUGCAGAAAAAGCGCCGGCUAACUACGUGCCAGCAGCCGCGGUAAUACGUAGGGCGCAAGCGUUAUCCGGAAUUAUUGGGCGUAAAGAGCUCGUAGGCGGUUUGUCGCGUCUGCUGUGAAAACCCGAGGCUCAACCUCGGGCCUGCAGUGGGUACGGGCAGACUAGAGUGCGGUAGGGGAGAUUGGAACUCCUGGUGUAGCGGUGGAAUGCGCAGAUAUCAGGAAGAACACCGAUGGCGAAGGCAGAUCUCUGGGCCGUAACUGACGCUGAGGAGCGAAAGGGUGGGGAGCAAACAGGCUUAGAUACCCUGGUAGUCCACCCGUAAACGUUGGGAACUAGUUGUGGGUCCAUUCCACGGAUUCCGUGACGCAGCUAACGCAUUAAGUUCCCCGCCUGGGGAGUACGGCCGCAAGG